UCCGAUCCACUUCCGUCCCGAAUAAGUUUCCUGUGGCUUUGUUUGCAUCUCAAGAAAGGAAUGUUGUGAUUUUGUCCCAUUCUUUCUCUUGGCAAUUGGUUAGUUGUGCUGUACUGUGCAGAUCUUGCAGUACUGUUCUUGUAUUGGUGCUGUGCCACAGUGCUGUAGGGGGCGUUUUCUUCCCGUGUCUUAUUUUUAGCACGUGUCACAUCGAAUGUUUAGAUACUAAUUAGGAGUAGUAAACGUAGACUAUUUACAAAACCAAUUACAUAAGUGGAAUCUAAACGGCGAGACGAAUCUAUUAAGCCUAAUUAAGCCUAAUUAAUCCAUCAUUAGCAAAUAUUUACUGUAGCAACACAUUGUCAAAUCAUGGACUAAUUAAGCUUAAUAGAUUCGUCUCGCCGUUUAGAUUCGUCUUAUGUAAUGGGUUUUGUAAAUAGUCUACAUUUAAUACUCCUAAUUAGUAUCUAAACAUUCGAUGUGACAGGUGCUAAAGUUUAGCAAGCGGAAGAAAACAGGCCCGUACUUUGCCCCCUUUUGUUUUUGUUUACAUAUCUGCCCUUAGAGAGCUGCUAAUUUUUUUUUUGAAAAACAAAAUUUUUUCUUACCUUUAGAGAGCUGCUAAUUUACUAUACCUAACACUGAAGAUAAGCUUCUAGUCCUGCGAAUCUAAAACCAAAAUAUAAAGGUAAGAAAAAGAAGACAACUUACCAAUUGUUACCAACUAUUGCUAUCAUUAACUAGCUAAGUCUGGUAUAAUUCUUUUUGAAACGAAGUCUAGCAUAAUUUACUCGAAUCUUCUCUGGACAUGUUCAGUCAGGUUCCUCAUACUUUGGACAUGUUUUACUCUGACUUGGACACUUAGUACCACGCCAUGUAAAGAAAUCACUUCCAACAAGAAGUUAAAUAGCUCGAGAGUAAACAUAUACCUACUCAAGUUUCCUUCGUCACUGUACUAAUUUGUGGAUAUCAAGAAGUUCCCUGACAAAAUUCUACCAGGACAAACACUUACUGAUUCAAAUGAUUCAACCAAUAUGUUGCUCUUGAUUGCCACUUUUGAGUUUCUCUUCAUUCUUUUUUUUU
rnacentral:lncRNA from 1 species